AGGAAGCGUUCCUCGCGACUUCGCCCGUAGAUUAGUAGAGAGAAUUCUCCGCGCCGUUUCGGUAGCCGCGUAUCAAAGUCGCUGGAAAGCGCCGUUUGACCCUUGGAAAAGACCGGGGAACGAAUCCGAGCUUUGAGCUUUCGCCCGGUUCGGUUAUCGCCGUUAAUUCCGCCGAGCGUGUAAGCGUGGCAAUCCCUCAUCCGGAUUCUCGAAAUCUUUUUCGCACAGCUGAACGACCGUUCGAACUUCUGAUAUCCGGUCUGAUGUUGUUGCAUCUUCGACGAAAGUUUCGCGGGAAAAAUAAAUGCCGACAGAUCAGGGAACUCAAGGAGAGCUGAUCGCUCGCUUGAAAACUCUUCGAAACCCGAUGACCAGGAACGAAAAAUGUGUUUCUUAGACAGCUCUUCACCUUGAAUCGACACUAACGGAAGUCUGCCGGUUUGACAUACGAUUUUCAAAACGGAACUGUUCAGCUGAACCGGAAGCUUGAAAUAUUCUGUUUUCUUCAGCCGAGGAAUCGACUAAUUUCAAUCGAUUUCACAUCGAGGAAAAUUGGAUCCGGGUGAAAUUGAAUCUUCGUCGCCGAAGAGGGACUGAGCUAAUUUUCGCGUUAAAUACAAUACCGGGUGAGAUCGAUACGAGUUUUGUGAAAGGCUGGAACGAGGGUUGAACUGAGGAAAUAAUCAUCGGGGGUAUCAAGGUACGAGGAGCCAAGAGUAACGGUUCCAAGUUCAUUCGGUACAUCCGGGGCUACCUAAUUCCCUGUCUUCUUCAAGCCCGGAUCCUCUUUUUGGGCUGUUUGUUUGAACGCGGGAACCGUGUAAACAUACAAAAAACGCCUAAUGGACUUCUGAAACAAAUUCACCAGCCCUUCUUAAGACGUGUAUACGCACAGUAGAGAUGCUUGGACAGUUUUGAACCUGGCUCUAAAGUAAAAAGGAGAAAAACGAGUACACGGUGUGCCUGAUAAACGGAUUCUAAGAAAACACGACAUCUGCCCGGAAGCUCGAGAGACUCGGAAAGAAUCUAAACGAAAAGUCGCGAAAUCGUCGGAAACACUCAAAAUGGCAACCUUCUCUCGGCGCAUUUUUGGUGGCUUCGACUGAGGCGGCCUCGGGCCCCAGAACGAGACACACGGGAUUAGGGGCUGUUGUCCCUUUGAGGGUGGGGCGAAGGACGGGGGCCCCUCGGGUCAGGGGCGACUCAGGGCCCGUGGGAUGGUCUCGGGGUGGUGCCCCUGCGUGCCGCUUGGGCGUCGGCAGCUUCCGCCCCCGCAGAAUCCGAACAUCAACGGAAACGGGGGUCCAUUCACCGUCAGCGCCGCGACGGAUCACUCAGAGAUGGUGCAGAUGUUCUACUACGAGAACCGGGGAAAAUGCUGCAAGAAACUCCUGCGGUACAACGGAUAUCCAAACAAGAAUACCGGUCAAUUCUUGUUCCAGGUCCUGUUAUUCCCAGAGGAGGGUUGGGCGAGGAGUGCGAGCAGUUCCUACUGGACCCUGACGCCGUUCUGGUGGAGCAGAAGCCGCUGCAAGGUGGUCGAGGUGGCUGGAACGAGGAGAUACAGCACACAGGCAAAAAUGGUCGACACUGGCACUGGGACGCUUUACAUCAUCGGGUCCUUCAAAAGGAUGACGACGGAUCCAGAUUUCAAGCUCUACCUAACGUCGAACGUCUCCUCGAGCGACUUCAACAUGGGGUACAGCAUGACCGGGACCCUGGAGAGGGGCUGCAAGAAAACGAACUCCUUCCAGAUGACGCACUUCGCUGUGAUCCGUCGACGGGACUACGAGAAGGCCUACGAGGAGCCGAACCACCCCACCUAGUGUCCGGAGACACCCACAUCGUCGGAGUGUGGGGACUACGAGCGAUAUACGUAAGAAUUAUAAGGUGUGCCCCCGACGAGCUGUGACAGUCGAGUAUUGAGGAGAUGCAAAUCAGUCAGUUGUGUCAUUGCGUAUCCGCGCACAGGCCUGAAGCUUUCUCAUUCUUCGACCUGGGCUUAUUGAUCGACGGAUGGAGGAUUUCUGCUCAGUUGUUAGCCCCCCACGACCAACCCUUCUACGCCAACGUCGAGCUUCAAUUCCAGAAAAGUUUUUGAACAAGAACGAAGAGGAAGUGUUUCGACCCUCACUACUGUCAGUCGUGUCAUGAAGGUGUGGUCAACACCUGCUGCUGCCGUCAUUUGCAUGCAAGCACGAGUUAUACUUGAGGAAACCACGCCGUGGUUGGAAUCAGAACCAGACAUGAACUAUAUUGCUUGGUGGUGUAAUCCACGGACCUGGAAAAUUUCCUUUCCGAAGUAAACUCCACAUCCUGACACCAAAUCGCGAGCAUCUCUCGCUUCUAUAGCGUAUCAAGUGAGUCUGUAUUCGAGUUUCAACCACCCAACUUUGGGACUUUAGUGGUGCUAAUUCCGCUAAUUCUAAAAGUUCAAUGAAAAUUGAGCUAAAAAAUGGGUGUCAUUAAAUUAUCAAAUAUUAGAAUGUUAUCAACAUAAUUAUAAGGAUGUUCACUUAUUACAAAGUUAUGUAUUCUAUUUAAUUGUCAUUCUAGGAUUUUACGUCGUUAGUUGUUUAUUUUUUUAAGUUUCUGUACCAGGCCACGAA
rnacentral:misc_RNA from 1 species